UUAUUGUUAUCUGUCACGAUGUAAAAUCUAAAUAGUUGCUAGUCUUUCUAGACUGGUGUGUGGCUCGCCACAACUAUAGCUGAUCUGGUGGAUGACCUAGCUGAUAUAUUUACAAUAAGUAAAUAAUAAAAUUAAAUUAAUUAAAGCAUGCACAUAACAGUUUAUAUAGUUCCAGUGAAGAGUUUUGGUAUAAAUUUCUUACCAGUUUGUCGAUCACAAUAUGUGUGCCGAUCGAGCCAUCCGUGUG
rnacentral:lncRNA from 1 species